UCUAAACUGUGCUGGAAAACGGGGCUAAUGAAGGACGAUAAGGGCCUUCCAGAGGAUGUCUUUGCCAAAACCAAACGCCGAAUUUGUGAUACUGCUCUGCGCAUGGGUUGUGGCCAACCUGAACGUUUAAGUAGAAAUAAUCAGCACCAAUGAAAAGAACUGUUUGUUUUUUCGAAAAAAAAAUGUUCAUUCCUGUAUAAAUACUUAAUUCGUAGGGAAUGAUGUGUCAAUUAAAGCUAAAACAUUGCUGUCAUGA